GAAAAAGCAAGACCCUAACUCUUUUUAAUCUUUUAGUUAUAUUUGUUUAUUUGUUUAUUACCUAGUUUGUGAUUUAGAGGCUUUCAGGGAAAUGUCGCCUUGUCUUUAUUAUAAUUGCCUAAAAUAAUACUUAGCUCAGACUAGGCACUCAAUAUAGGUGAGUUGAAUAAACAAACUUAAAUCUUGUAGUCUUUUUUAACACCUUUUUUUUUUUUUUACUGUUUCUUAAAAAUUCUUACUGAUGAAAUUAAUCAUGAAUACAGAAAACAAUAUAAAACAAAAAUAUAAAUAUCCUUCUACCUACUGCCUUGUAUCCAAUUUUUAGAAAGAAAUAAAACAAUUCUUGUGCUUUAUAAAAUUAUUCUUCCAGUAGCAGUAGCUUUCAAAGUAGUUAUAUUGGUAGAAUCUUUAUUUCUUUGUAUACCAUGGUUUGAUAAUGUUUAUUUAUUUAUACUACUUAAAAUGACAUUAUUUACUCUGCUAUUUGUUUUAGAAAGAAAAAAUAUUUCCUGGAACUUUCACCUUUAGUGAGUUAGAAGAAUGCCAUUUGAAGUAAAUAGAGAUUCAUUGUUUCUCUGUAUUUCUCAAAGAAUCAGUAGAGAUAUUGAGAGGAAAAAGUUCUUUCUCAUAUAAAUUUGGAAUAUUGGAAAGAAAUUACUGGAAGAAAAGAAAAUAUUAGAAACAUGGGUAGUGAUGAAGCAAAGAAUCUGAAAUGCUUCACUCAAAACCUCUUGAACUGUGGAAACGAUGGGGAAGAGAGUAUGUCAAAUGAGAUCCCGGGGAAGGAAUGCGAGCUUGAUAGCUUGACCAACAGCAACAAAAUGACCUGAGAACUUACUAGAAAUGCAAAUCCUUGGGCCUCACCUUAGACUGAAUCAGAAACUCUGGGAGUGGGGCCAGCAAUCUGUUUUGACAAGCCCUUUGGGUGAUUCAAUUGCUGAUUAAAGUGAGAAAAUCACCACUUGAGUGCAGCAAGGAGAGCAGUGUGUUGGGAUGACAUGGGAGGUUUAAAAAUCUGUCAAAUAACAACAACAAAAAAAAUUCUUGUCCCUGUCAUCAACUUCCAUGUCAUGAGGAUAAAAGGGAAGUUUGAAAAAUUAUUUGAGAAAAUAUGGUAAGACUGGCAGCAAAUUGUAACUUUAAAAAUUAGUAGGCACAUUAGGCAAGCUUCUACCACACCUCUUUCUUACCCAGAUUCACACACACAAACCAGGCUGUCCAAAGCACAGUCCUGCUUAAUUAGAUACUGAGGAGCCAAAACUUUUCCACCCCCUCCCCUCAGUCCCUAAGACACAACACAUCAGUUUCCAUGAUUGCUGUUCAGCAGAACCAGGCCAAUCUGGUUUUUUGCAGCUUGCCUAUUAAAAAGUGACUUUCACACCCUCCUGGGUUAUGUACCAAGACCUUUGCCCUUUUGUGGCUUAGCAGAAUGAUUUAUUUGUGUCAUUAGUCAAUCUAUUAUUUCAUCCAAAAUAUUUCCAUUACCUGAAAUAAACUGCAGUCCCAAUGAUGA
rnacentral:lncRNA from 10 species